rnacentral:rRNA from 1 species
AUGGCGUCGCUCGCCGGAGCCGCACUCGCCUCCUGCAGCAUCCUUCUCCUCCUGCUCGUCCCCUGCGCCCAGGGCCAGGGGCAACCACCCGAGGCACCGGAGGAGGCUUGGGCCGAGGGGCAACCACCGGAGGCGUCGGAGGACGCUUUGACGAUGCUCUUGUCCGAUGGCGGGUGCCGCGCCUUCUCCGGCCUCGUCGCCAUGACGGCCGGCGUGGGCGACGCGUUCCGCGAGCAGAUCGGCAGCGAUCUGGGGCUCACCAUCCUCUGCCCUGACGACGAGGCGGUGGGGGCGUUCAUGCCGAGGUUCCAUAGCCUCACCGCCGACGAGCAGGUCGCGGUUCUCCUGUACCACGGCCUGACGAUGGCUUACUCUGAGGAGCUGCUCAGCUGGGUGACCUGGGUCCACGGGGAGUUCUCGACGCUUGAUGGGGAGGAUAUGCUCACCAUCCGUCACCACAGAGGCAGGCUGAUGCUUUCUUCGUGGCCGCCGUCGUCACGUAACAAGGCCAGGAUCACCAAGACGGUCGUCGACGACGACCAUCUCGCCGUCUACCUCAUAGACGCCGUGCUGAUUCCGGCAGAUCCCAAGCGUCAAAGAGUUGUGGCACUUAUCGUCAUUAUUGUGGUACUUGUUGCCGGCGUGCUCGUGGCGAUAUUCUUGCUGUUUCAUGCACUUGUAUAUCUUGGUUCUCUUGUGUGCCGGUUGAGAAGUUGGUGUAAGGGUCGCGCUGCUGCCUAUGCUUCGGCCGCCCGUGUCACUCCACAUGGGCAAGGGCAACAAGAACACUAG